rnacentral:lncRNA from 1 species
UCAGAUCUCUCAUGGGGAGCAAGAGCAACGACGGCGGCGGCGGCGGCAAGGACGCCGCGACGGAGGCAGAGGCCGCCGGCGAGGCGGCGAUCAAGCAGGAGGCCCCGGCGAAUCGCGGGAAGACGCCGCAGCAGGUGAACCAGGAGCUGAGGGAGUCCCUGUCGAAGCAGGACAGUUUCCGCAAGCUGGCGGAGCGCUACGGCGGCGUCGACGACCUCCUCGACCUGUGCGUCGGCGACGGCGACGACAACUGCUUCGACGACUGGUGCUGCGUCGUCAACCCCGAUGGCUCCUACUACUACAUGGACCGCCACUACGCUCCUGCCCCCGAUUACUUGCUCUCCUAUGAUGCUGAUGGUCGUCUUGUUCUCCUCAAACAAGAAAAGCCCACCUGAAUCCUGAUUCGUGUACCUCGUGCCUGCUCUAGUUUGCUUGCUUGUGUGUUUCUUCCUUUGUUAAUUUGGAUCUCUCAGUGAUUAAUGUUUUAACCUCCUUUUAAAAAAAAGUGAUACAAUUAAUAUUUGCUUGACCAUCGAAAUCUGACCCCCCUGUUCAGUAGAAUUUAGUUUGCUUUGGUCUCAUCCUCCUCGACCCUGGCCUUUUCCAACUCUACUGUCAUGAAAUAAAUGGUAUUAUAUUUAUUCGAUGAUUUUGCAAAACUAAAUGUGGUACUAAGUUACUGAAUAAUUCAAUCGUACAGAAAAGAACAUGCAAAUCAUGAAAUAAAUGAGAAAUUUUGCGAAUAAAUGUACUAGCAAAGUAGCAUCCAAAUCAUAUAUACUCCAGAGCAUGCAAAUCAUGAAAUAAAUGUACAACCCUGGAGAACUAAAUGGAGUACUCCCUCCGGUUUAGAAGGCACACUUCAGUUUUCCUGCAUUUUCAGAAUAGGAAAGGAUUAAGUCGUGUGGGCAAAAAGUGCAUGCAAAUCAUGAAAUAAAUGCACCACCCUGGAGAAAUUUUGCGAAUAAAUGUACUAGCAAAGUAGCACAAGCGACUCUUAUCAACUUCACUAAUGCCGACGUAUCCAUAUGGAUAUCUUCUCAGAAUGCAUUUCAUAAGACUCAAUUAAUUAUCCAAAUGCAAAGGGUGCGUAUUGAUUUUCCUCCCUGACUGUGUCUGCGAUCAGCCCAACCAUACACAACUCUUUACUCAAUUUUCCUUUUUUAUUCUUUAAAAAAUGUGCACCGACUUUCAUAAAUUUGAACUUUAAAAAGACAAACCCAAUGCAUAGAAGCUCCCACACAAGGUGGAGUCUGGAGAGGAAUUAUAGAAACCUAGUCUUAUCUCUGCAAAGUGCAAUGCAGAUAGGCUGGUUUGAAUCCAGGACCUCUGGCAUAAGUGGGGAGGACUUAUUAAAUACUGACUUUCAAAAGUUAUUUUUUUAAAAUUAAAAUUUCAUAGAUUUUAACUCUCAAAAAUUCAAAUAAGUUCUCCUAUCGUAUGACCGAUUUUUUCUCUGGAACAAUAAUAAACCGAUGGGUGUACAAUGUGCCGGGUUUAGGUCUCUCUAGACAAUAUAAGAAAGCCAAGUGAUCAUAUUAUAUGUUGCACUUGAUCUCAAAAUCGCCUCGGCCAAUAUAGUUGUAAGAGUUCAGCUGCCUUUUUUCACUCGAAGAUGCACACUACCAUUACAAUUUGACCACUAUUCAGUGGAAUUAGUCGCUUGCAUCUCAUCCUCCUAGACCCUGCUGGCUGUCCAACUCAUCGUUGAGGCAUGUCGUUGUCUACUACGUUCACUCGCGCAUUGACGUCUUUUCCUUGACCCAAGACCAUCUCCGAUGCUGAUAUAUGGAUGAAUGUAUGAGUCAUGGUGCUACUUUGCUAUUAUAUUUAUUUCACAAUUUGGAAGAUCAAAUGUACUGCCAAAUUAAUGAAUAAAUCAUACAUAAAGGAACAUGCAAAUCAUGAAAUAAUUGUACUACUCUGUAGAAAAUUUGAGCAUAAAUGUACUGGCAAAGUAGGAUAGCGACUCUUAUCGGCUCCACCAAUACCAACAGUAAUCGUAUCCAUACGGAUAUCUGCUUAGAUUGCAUUUUACAAGACUAGUUAAUUGUCUAUCUCCAAAGUGUGUACCUGUUUUCCUCCCUGAUGCCUGACCGGGCGUGCAGUCCGCCCAACCAUACACAACUCUUCACUCAAUUUUUUCCUUUUUUCUUUCACUAGUAAGAAUGCACGUGCAAUGCACAUAUUGACUAAUAUAUGUAGUCAAACGUAUUACAAACACUAAUAUUCAAAUUGUUGCAUGCCAUGAGAUGACAUAUCUCCAUGUCAAAAUACAAAAAAGAAUACCAAUUAUAUAUGUCCAUAAUUCUAAACUCCAUGCCCCCAAUGCUGGGAAUGAUUCAAACUUGCCAAUCUAGUGUUGUCCAAUGUCUGAAAAUCCAUCUAAACCAAUGACUAUUAGAUCACCUUCCAUAAGAUUUACAUAACGAAAGUAGAGAAGCCAACGAGUUCAGUAUCAGAAAGGACCAGUCUUAGAAACACUUAAAUCUUUGAAAAAAAGCCCGCUUAAAUCUGAUUACGCUCAUAGACAGUUGUAAUGAAGCAAAAAAACUACAGACAAUACAACAAUCGUGUCAUUUUAUUCUCACAGGAAAAGAGCAAGCUAUUUAUCAUCAUCCAAAGAGUUUACAACGUCAAAUGGCUAAGCACGAACGACAUGACAACAUUGGCGGGCUGACCAGUGAUUUAUCUUUUUUCAUGCCCUUAUUGGUCAUUUUCACCACAAAUAUGAAACUUUGUUGGAUUCGUAGAGAGCAAAUGCAACAGUUACUUCGUUUCCAUAGGGCCACUGGGUCCUGAAACAAUGCAUCCCAAGUUCAAAUAUUCGUCAUAUGAAAAGACAAGCUUUGAAACCCAUCAAAGCAGAGACCAAACAAACUGUACCAAGGGUAACUAUUUUCAACUAUCAUUAUCCCAAGGGCCUCAGAUCUUUCAUAUGAUAACGACAUUCUACCAUGAUACAGUAGAAGAAAUAUUUCAGCAUGAAAAUUAACCUUAUCAUGGUCAUGCGACUUGUGGACCGGCUGUAACCUCAUUCUCCCCCUCUCACCAAAAUCCUGGGCUCCAAGUCCACUACAUGCCUGCACCAUAGCACCAUCCACAAGCUGUCGUGCUUCUUCCAUUGAAAAGAAGUGAGAAAACUAAGGGAAGUUUAGUUCAACAUCCUCUGCCUAAUGCAAUCAACACCCGUCAACCUAAUCCAUCGCCAGGCUAAUGUAGUACAAUUAGUGUUCGAUAGUUUGUAAUAUUCAUUUCCUUAAUCUAACUUGAACACUAAAAAUAUUAUGGGAAUAACCUUUUUGUGCUCUUUAUAUUGCCAGUUACAUUCAAUGUAAAUGCAACCCAACACAAGAAGAAAUGGAGGCACUUGGCCCAUGCAGUCUGCGAAUUAUCAAUUAGAGAGCAAUGCAGAUAUAAAAAAUCCAUGCCAUUUAUUAGGCUAAGCAUUCAUAUAGAUGGUAUAGAAUACUAAAACUAACAUUCAACAAUACUAAAAGUGUCAUUUACAUUCAGCAAUACUAAGAGUGUCGUUUUCAUAUACAGAGAUGACAAGUACAUAAUGAAAACAUCACUUGGUUUGAGCAAUCAUUUUCAGCUUAAUAAUAAGUAAAAUCGGCUCGAACUUGCAAAAUUUGAGAUCAACAACACAAAUUUAGAUGUCUGUUGGCGUUCAAGGUAGCGGCAAUUGGCAGGUGCAUUUUUCUCUUGCCAUUUAGUUGACUUUCAUUCUUCUGAAGUGACCAAGAUCAUGGGUUGCUGAAAAUAGUGUAAAAUUGGUAAAAUCAGAAAAUGAGAGGGGGUGGGUGUUCGAGAUGGAUCUCCCCUUCGUGACUUCAUUUGCCAAAAAAAAAAAACAAUCAUCACCUUGAGAACAUGUUGCUUGGCUGCCAACAUCAUGUAGUUUGACGUCACAUGGUAAUCACUCUAUCAAUUCUAAAGUCAUUCGACAUUAUUGGUUACUGGUCACACCUCAUCACCACCUAGUCAUGCACCAACUCAAGAAGGUGUUGCAGUUUUCUCUGUGUGUGGAUACGGAGACCAAGCCCUCUGUCGUCCUUGUCCCAUGUAGACACACCUAGAGAUCACGUGUUAUGCGCUUGCAUACUGUAGCAGGCACUCUACUCAAUGUAGCGGGAUGCAACCACAAUUAACGGUGAGCAUCCUUUGAGACGUUACCUCUAUCUCUGCUGCUCCAAGUCGUCGCUUUCUAGGAGCCCAACCUUGGCAUGGCUAUAUGUUCAACCUAUGAUCUUAUGUCCAUGCAACUAUAUACUAUACAAUUGAAUCUGUACUGUUUGAAACAUAUGAGAAGACAAACAAAAGGACUUGUGGAAAGAAAUUGGUGUUGCCUCACAUCAGAGAAUAUUCUCUUUUUUUCUACCCAAAACUGUAGAACGACCUUGAUAAGUGUCACACGUGCGGCAUGAACACAUGGCAACUUUGAACUUUUUUAUGGCUAGUUUAGUGACUUGAGGAUGGCAACUUCCUUUUCAGAUGGUAAGUUUCAGUUUUUUUAGUUUUUUUAUUUUCGGAUGGCAAUUUUAAUUGUAAAAAACGCUAGGAUCGGAUUGCUUCAUGCCACACGUGUGGCACUUAUCAUUUGGGUUGAACAAUCGUUCUAUGGUAAUUUUUGGUCAAACCAAAGAAUAAAGUUAAAAUAGUACAAAAGCAAAAGAACAGAAAAAUCAACAAAUGCAUGCCAGCUCUAGGGAUUAUGAAGGAAAACCAGUCUAACUUAGAGAUGUACUCCCUCUGUCCCACAAUGUAAGACAUUUUUGCAAGCAAGUUUAACUUGCAAAAACGUCUUACAGAUGGGACGGAGGGAGUAUUAUAGAAAAAGUCUAACUUAGAGAUGGUGUUCUACCCAAACUUGAAGAGCUUCUAGAGAACAGGCCUUCCUGAAGUGGCAAAAUGAUUGACACGACUACAUUUACAAAAUCCUUCACCAAAUUGGCAUAUACUUUUCAUUGAGUCUAACACGAACUCAUUACAUUGACUUCUUCUGUAGAUCCGCUACUACUCUAGAACACAAGCUUAUCGUCAAAGGCCGGCAAAACCCUUGCCAUGAGAUUACGGAAAAAAUCAAAGAAGGAGAGAGCCCGGCUCAUGGUGCUACUAUGUUCCUCCUUCUGUUCCUCUGGAGCUUUCUGUUCCUCUGGAGCUGCUGCAUCCUCCUUGUCUUCUCCACCGACAGUGGGGCAUGUGAACGACUUCUCAAGCAGAUUCAUGAAGUGCGUGAAACCUUGCCCCUCAUUUGCUUGGGUCUUCUUUCCGCACACGAAGCUCCGGUCAAGAGGGUGCAAGAUCUUAAAGCUUUCUGGGCAAAAUGUACACGAGGUCUUCAAGUGGCUGUGUCGCGGCUUUUUAUCUGUCGAUAGUAGAGAACAAACGGAAGAAAAACAUCUGGUGAGAAUCCGAAGAGAUGAUUGUUUUCUCAUGGCGGUUAAGGUGGUGGUCGCUGCUUACCGAUGAUGGUGCAUGUUUCAACGGCCGGCGCGUCGGAGCGGCGGUGGCUGUAGCGCAGCUCGGCGAAGAAGUGCUCGUCAGUGACGGUGUCGCUGACAGUGUUCCGCCUCCGUUUGCCGCUGACGACCUUCCUCCCGCGAGCCACGAAGCUGACGUGGACCCAGAUGUGGCCUUUGAAGCCCACGUACGCGGCCAUCAAUGGCUUGACGGGGACGAACUCCGAGCCCUGAAACGCAUCCACUGUUCUGUCAGUAUAAUCCACAAAACAAAAUCAACAGUGCACGGACAUGUACUCUAGCUUUUGAUCGAUGAUGCAUGGCCUAGCUACGUACCGGGUUGUCUGCGUUGUAGCGGCGGAGGGCGUGGUGGACAUGGCCGAUGAUGGAGGCGUCGCGCUCCCUGCAAAUCCAUCCAGACAUCACCAUUAGCAAACAGCAAUAGGUUAGCGGACUCGAGGAGCUAAGCAACAAGCAGACGGCCGGAUCAGAGUCGGAGAUCGGAGAACGUACUCUUCGGUGCGCUGACCCGUCGUCCCGUGGUCCGGCGAUUGGCUGCCGCAGCCGCACAUGGAGCGUUCCUGGAGCGUUUGGUCCUCACGGUGCAGGUCGUGCAUGAAAGCGGGGGGCGCGCCGCUCAGCUUCCGCAUCAUCAUCCGCACCAUCGGCGACAGUGCGGACUCCAUUGAUGUGAUCCAAAGAUCGAGCGAGCGAGCGUCCUCGAGAGCGCACGUAAAAUCUCUAGGUAGCCCCUGCCUCUCUGUAACGCUAUGGUCCUAUGGAUCGUCUACGUUAGUCCAUGUACCGUCGGUAGCUGCAUAUAUAGAUGGAGAAGCAGGGGAGACGUGCCUCACGAUUUUGACAUAUACUCCCUCUGUAAAUUAAUAUAAAAACAUUUAGAUAACUAAAAUAAUGAUCUAAACAUUCUUAUAUUACUUUACGGAGGGAGUACCGCUCAACAGCCGAGCCUCGGUCCGAUUCGGAACUGAAAAUGAAACCAAGCCCGACUCGAUCGAUCCACCCACGGGUCUGCAACUUUGAAGCCGGUCAAUGCUAAAAAAAGUGAAGCCAGUCCUAAACCCGCUCCAACACGGAAACCCGCCGCGUGUGGCUAUACACACACACACCGGUUUGUCUAAUUCACAUCUAGAUAUUUUUUAAGGAUGUCACAUCUAAGCCCCGACAAAUAUAUAAUGCAACACCAAGAAAUAAAAAAAAACUAGAAAAAAAUAGACCACUAACAGAGUGGGCAUCAGCUUAUAUGUGAUAUAACUAUUUCACAUCUAGAUGUGUCCUAGACAUACCUUACACACACAGCUUUGUCUCAUUGCAGUGGCUUCAUUCCCUUAGUCAAGGCACCGGUUUGGAGCCCACGUUCAUCUUGCACGACUUCGUCUUAUUGUGGUGACUUGUCCACGUUGAGGACCCCAGCCACUCUUUAGUGAUGCUUAUAUGGGUGAAGUUGCUGUUUUCAACGUCUAUAUAUCCUGCCUUGGGUGUGUGUUGUGGUGGCGUGUGUUUGUGUCUGAUUGUAUAGUGAUGAUUGCUUUAUAUAUUUUUCGAUAAAGGGUGAACUUUAUUGACUCAAAAUGGAGCACCAAGAGGAUACAAACACAAUGGAUACAUGAUGCACACAGGUAACACCAACACACAUACACACAAAAACACGCCAGUAAAUAGUUAAGUCAUAUAAGAUCAAAGCUAUGCGUAGGAGAGAAAAAAAUAUGUCCCAAAGCGAUCAGAUCCGCGAUGGACACAAAACUAUAACAAUGACACCAUGAGAAGACGAGAUUCUUCAACAACAACGCCUUCAGGAAAGGACCGACACUCAAGUGUCACCUUCACCGGAUCCAGCCACCCAAGGCUAGAAUCUAGGCUUUCACCCUGAAGAAUCAGUCAGAGCAUUCUGAACAAUGCAUUCAACAAGGUAACGAUGUAAAACAUCGUCAUUGACAGGUAUACCCAACUCGGGUUAGACCUAUGCUUUCACCCGGAGCUCGAGACUGGGUGCUCAAGUAGCACCACUAUCGAAGUCAUUUAUGUGUUGUCGUCACCAUUUCUCCAUGAUCCCAGCAGCUACAUGUGAUGUGACCGCCACACAACCUUCCCUCUGCAUCAAGACUUCGUCAUUAUAUAUUUUGCAUCUCGCCACCGAAGUUAACCACCAGACCUGUAGAAAUGAAACUCACACAAAGAUCUUUCGACGGCGACCGCAUUGAGUGAGGCAAACAGCCAUGAUCAUGGGCUUCAGCUAGUCGGAGGCCGUCAUCUGCACGCAUGUGCACAUCUCAAGCCGCCGUCUGUAUGUGUAAGCAUUCAUGCACCAGCUCCGCAUGCUUGUCCUGAUCGUACUCUAAGCCAUGGAUACCAACCAGAUUGGAAGACCGAAAUCAGUAGCAGGCAACCAGAUCAGGAGGCACCCAACCAUGGACAUGAUCCAGAUCAGAAGGCUGGCAACCAUCAGCAAACUGCCACAUCGGGAGGCGGACAAUCACCAGCGACCUUGUUAGAUCAGGAGGCCGACGACGCACAACAACGAAACGGCACCCAGAUGAGGAGGCGACCACUAGUGAAGAACAGAAAUAAAGAAACCGGCCAAAGAUGCCCCGCCGCCGUCCGCCCGGCGGUCGGCUUCCUCCGGCGGUGGCGAGGUGAACGGGGUUGUGGAGGAGGGCCUUCGAAGCUGGCUGCGGCAGCGCCUCCAGAGUCGCCCAAAGCGACCCGAGAGACUAGGGUUGGGUACGUGCGGGUCCAGUUUGGCUUUAUAUAUAAAGCGGGAAAACCAUUUUCGUCAAAUAUUGUUGUAAGUUACUUUUCUUUACUUGCAGUAGCAUUGGAUCUGUUUGAUUUGGUGAAGGUGCAACCUGAACACUGUUGGAUGUUCACGUUCAUAGUGUCAAGCUGCAGGUAUUUAUUACCGCAUAGAGCUUUGUAAAGGUUGUGUUACCUAGCUGUGAAAUAUCUUCCUUGUAAUUACUUUGAGAUAGGGGCCCACUCCAUAUGUUUUUUUUUUGAGAAAACCCACUCCAUAUGUAAAGCAUCGUACUGUGGCAGCCAUCAAAUAAUCAAACCCGUGUCAGCUAAAAGAGCCCAUGUCAACAAUUGAGUAGUACUUUUCCAGUGGAGUGUACACAUGCAUGCAUUUGUCUCUCUCCAAAACAAAUACAUGCAUUUUAUCGUUGUUUAAAAUUUUCGAUAAUCAAUAUCUUUUACCAGGAUGUUCUAUUAUUGAAUUUUUUAUAUAUUCAAAUUCCUUGGCACAUCAUGUGUAGAACAAGAUCAAUCUUGUAUAUAUUUAAACAAAUUUAAUUUUUACUAUUUAAAAAAAUUGAAAUAUGGUAUUCGUGAAGAUCCUUAUUUCGGUGUUCCUUUUGCGAAUGUGCUUUGUUCAUUCAUUUCAGUUUCAGUUAUAUUUCAAAUAUACCAACUUCUUAAAAAGAGGAAGGAUAACAUACCCCUCGUGGAAACUAAGAUAAGAAGGAGUUGCAGGUUGCAAAAAUUGUCUAAAGGUUUUAAGAAAACAGUAUGUAGAGAUAAAGAUUGCCUGAACUGCCAUGUUGCACCACCUAUUCUUUCUGCUAAAGUGGUUAAAAGUCUAAACACCCUUUCUAUAAGGUACCUGGAAAAGACACAACUGAUGAAAUUCUUAGCAAGAGAGCUAAGAAGAGCAUAGGAGAAAGACCUGUGAUGGAAGGCCACAAGGUGACCAAGGAAAAGAACAAGAAAUGGCUCUAAGCCGUACUGGAGAUCACUAGAGAGCACCUUUUGUACCAGAUCUAUCUAUGUAUGCAAUGUGGCAGUUGUAUCUACAGUACCUGUUAUGCUUUAGCAGUAGUUGGAUCUUUAUAUAUCUGGGCAUCUCUGGUCUUUUGGUUCAGACUCUGUGGUAUAUUCCUAAGCAGGCUACUUCUAUGCCUCUUCCUAUGUUUGCCAGUUGGUACCUCUCAUUUCUUGCAAGUUUUGAGAUGAACAAUAAUCUUCCAUAUCCAUCUAAUGAACAGAAAUUGGAACAUCCUUAAUUGGAACAUUCGUGGCCUUAAUGACCCCAAGAAAUGGACUGCUAUAUCAAACAAAGUGGAAGAAUCCAAAUGCUCCAUUUUGUGUCUCCAAGAAACCAAGAGAGAAACUAUUGAUUCAGCCUAUCUUAAAAACUUCUACCCUAGAAGGAUCUCAAAAUUUACUUAUCUUCCAUCUGUGGGUGCCUCAGGAGGCCUUCUGGUGGCAUGGAAUGAACAACUCUUCUCUGGGCAACUCCACCACAUCAAUGAGUUCUCCAUGACCAUGCUAUUUACAUCCAAACAUGAUGAUGAUUCAUGGUUCCUCACUAAUAUUUAUGGGCCCUGUCAACCCAAUGAGAGAGCAGAUUUCAUAAAUUGGUUUUAGAACUUCUCUAUGGCAGUUGAUGCAAACUGGAUUAUCUUGGGUGAUUUUAAUUAUGUCAGAUAUCCCCACAACAGAAGCAGAGAAGGGGGGAAGUAUUAAUGACAUGCUCACUUUCAAUGAAGCAAUCAAUAGGCAGGCUUUGAUUGAAAUCCCUCUUAAGGGCAGAAUAUUUACUUGGAGCAAUAUGCAAGAUGCCCCACUCCUUGAGAAACUUGACUGGUGUUUUACCUCAGAAACUUGGACACUAAAAUAUCCUAUCACACUUGCUUACCCUCUAGCUAAAACAACCUCUGAUAAUAUCCCUAUCAUGAUUUCUAUUGGCACUAAUAUCCCUAAAUCCAAGGUUUUCAAAUUUGAGAACUAUUGGUUAGAACACCAUGCAUCAAUUCAGAGAUGUAGUGCAAGGUAUAUGGUCUCAACAAGUGAAUGAACAAGACAGUGCUAAAGUGAUUGCCACCAAAUUCAACAGAUUGAGGAAGGGAUUGAAGAACUGGGCAAGAGACCUCUCAAAUUUGAAGAAGAUCAUUGAUAACUCCAACUUUCUAAUUCUAUGCUAUGAUUAUUUGGAGGAAUAUAGAAGUUUGUCAGCAGAAGAAUCAAUGGGAAGAGAUAUAAUCAAGAGUCACUUGCAAGUUACUCUGGAACACGAAAGAAUGUACUGGAAACAGAGAGCCACAAUUAGAAAGAUAAAGGUGGGAGAAGCUAACACCAAAUAUUUUCAAGCAAAGACAACAAUCAAAUUGAGAAAUAAUUGUAUUGCUAUGUUAAAGGAUGAACCUGGUUUUGAGCACCAUGAUCACCAGGCUAAAGCAGCCAUCGUACUUAGGGCUCACUAUUAGGAAAAGGCCUGCUAGUGGCGCACCUGUUUUGCCUACUAAUGGCGCACUACAGGUGCACCACUAGCACCACGCCAUUAGUAUACCAGAUACUAAUGGCGCACCAGGCAGUGCGCCAUUAGUAUAGCCCACGGUGCGCCAUUACUAUCUGACUUAGUAAUGGCGCACCACAUAGAAGUGCGCCAUUAGUAACAAAUUUUUUUCAAAUAUUUUUUCAGAAUUUUUUUCUUCGUUUUUUUCUUAAUCUCGGGUCACUAUGGCUUAAUCUCGGGUCAAUAUGCUUAAUCUCAAGUCAAAUCGCACUAAGUGGUCAAACUUCCUGGAAGGUCACCCAUCCUCACACUACUCCAGCCCGAGCACGCUUAACUUCGCAGUUCUAUCCAACCCCAGCAUCACCUCACUUAAUAGGCACUUGUUGAUAUAUCUAUCAUACCAAUCCUAUUAAACCUUAUUGAUGUCUAGGACUUUGUUCAUGUUCAUCAGUAUGAUGAAAUUUUGAAAAAUAUUUCAAACUUCCCGGUCAUAUUACGUAUCAUUUUUUAAAAAAAAAUCCAAAAAAAAUUCGAAACCAAUUUUUUUCUGUUACUAGUGGUGCACCUAGCAAACUGUGCGCCACUAGUAAGUUUGAAAUUUUUGAAUUUUUUUGCCUCUAGAUCUUGAAAGCCCCGUAACUUUUUUUCUGUUAGGUUUUUGAGGAUUUUGAAAAUCUUUAACAAGGUUCCCCUGAUUAAAUUCGGAUGUAACUUUUCGAGUAGAUGAUUGUUCAUAUAAAAAACUUUUUAAUCCAAGUUCCUAUGCAAAAGUUAUGCCCAUUUUACAAAUUCCACAGAGAUUCUGUAAAUAAAGUCGAAAUUCAUAUUUGUAAAUUUUCCCAACAACUAGACCAUAUAUCACAUGGGAAACUUAUUUUCUUUUAUUUUUUUGACAUUCCCAUCAUUUUCCUUUAUNNNNNNNNNNNNNNNNNNNNNNNNNNNNNNNNNNNNNNNNNNNNNNNNNNNNNNNNNNNNNNNNNNNNNNNNNNNNNNNNNNNNNNNNNNNNNNNNNNNNNNNNNNNNNNNNNNNNNNNNNNNNNNNNNNNNNNNNNNNNNNNNNNNNNNNNNNNNNNNNNNNNNNNNNNNNNNNNNNNNNNNNNNNNNNNNNNNNNNNNNNNNNNNNNNNNNNNNNNNNNNNNNNNNNNNNNNNNNNNNNNNNNNNNNNNNNNNNNNNNNNNNNNNNNNNNNNNNNNNNNNNNNNNNNNNNNNNNNNNNNNNNNNNNNNNNNNNNNNNNNNNNNNNNNNNNNNNNNNNNNNNNNNNNNNNNNNNNNNNNNNNNNNNNGGAGGGGGUGCGCACCGUGGAUGUAGUGCGCCAUUACUAGUUUAACUAGUAAUGGCGCACUAUCCCCUGAUGCGCCAUUACUAGUUUUGGAAAAAAAUUGAAAAGAAAAUACUAGUGGCGCAUCGUGGAUGUGGUGCGCCAUUACUAGUUUAACUAGUAAUGGCGCACUAUCCCCUGGUGCGCCAUUACUAGUUUUGAAAAAAAUUAAAAAAAAUUGUUACUAAUGGCGCACCGUGGAUGUGGUGUGCCAUUGGUAUUUGGACACUAAUGGCGCACCACCACAUGAUGCGCCAUUAGUAUAUAGUAGUGGCGCACCACAUGUCUGGUGCGCCAUUAGUGUCCAUAUCAUCUAUAGCCCUUUUCCUAGUAGUGGCUUUUAAAGGCAGAAUGGGCACUAAGGCUACCACAAGCAAUCCUGUGCAGAUACACCAACUACUGAGCCCCCUGGAGGACCUCUCUGAUCUAGAAACCCCUUUCACAAAAGAAGAGAUUGACAAAGUAAUUCAGAAUAUGCCUGCAGACAAAGCCCGAGGACCAGAUGGCUUCAAUGCCUCCUUCUUAAAGCACCGUUGGGACAUUAUUGCUCCAGAUUUCUACAAGCUCAUUGAGGACUUCCAUUUAGGCAAAGUCAAUCUUCAAAGCAUAAACUACUCCUUCAUCACUCUAAUCCCCAAGAAUGAUACAGCAGCUAGCCCAUCUGACUUUAGACCCGUCUCCCUAUUGAACUACACACUUAAGAGCAUCACAAAGCUGCUGGCAAACAUAUUACAAAGAUACAUUCUUAAAAUGGUGCACAGGAAUCAAUAUGGCUUUCUAAACAAGAGAUGUAUCCAAGAUUUCCUAGCAUGGGCUUAUGAAUAUAUCCACAAGUGCUAUUAGAGUAAGAAAGAACUCAUCAUGCUGAAACUAGAUUUUGAAAAGGCUUUUGACAUGCUCAGCCAUGACACAAUCAUUCAGACACUUAAGGCCAAAGGAUUUGGAGAGAGAUUGAUACAAUGGAUUAAGAUGAUUUAUGGUACAGGUUUCUCUUCAAUCCUCCUAAAUGGAGUACCAGGCAAGCAGUUCCUCUGCAUGAAAGGAGUCAGACAAGGAGAUCCCCUAUCUCCUUUGUUUUUUGUUAUUGCUGCUGAUAUUCUUCAAACCAUGCUCAAUGAAGCCAUGAGAAAUUCCUUGGUGGACCCACCUUUGCAACACAAUUCAUCUCCUGAUUACCCCAUCAUUGAAUAUGCAGAUGAUACUGUGCUAGUGGCACAUGUUGACCAUAGACAAGUUCAACAUAUCAAAAAUCUGCUUUUGCAUUAGGCUGAGUUCUCUGGUUUGAAGAUCAAUUACUCAAAAUCCACCAUUAUCUCAGUUAAUACUCCACAUGAGAAAAUGAUGGAACUAUUGAUACGUCCAUUUUGCAUCAUGCUUUUAUAUCAAUUUUUAUUGCAUUAUGGGCUGUUAUUACACAUUAUAUCUCAAUACUUAUGGCUAUUCUCUCUUAUAUGACAUGGUUUACCAUGAAGAGGGGGAAUGCCGGCAGCUGGAAUUCUGGCUGGAAAAGGAGCAAACAUUGGAAACCUAUUUUGCACUGCUCCAAAAAUCCUGAAACUCCACGAAACUUAUUUUUGGAAUUAAUAAGAAUUAUUGAGCGGAAAAAACACCUCAGGGGGCAAACACCCUGGCCAGGAGGGUGGGGGGCGCGCCCACCCCUACCGGGCAUGCCCCCUGUCUCCUGGGCCCCCUAGUGGCCCUCCGGUGUCCAUCUUCUGCUAUAUGAAGGCUUUUACCCUGGAAAAAAUCAUGGGCAAGCUUACGGGACGAAACUCUGCCGCCACGAGGCGGAACCUUGGCGGAACCAAUCUAGAGCUCCGGCAGAGCUGUUCUGCCGGGGACACUUCCCUCCGGGAGGGGGAAAUCAUCACCAUCGUCAUCACCAACGAUCCUCUCAUUGGGAAGGGGUCAGUCUCCAUCAACAUCUUCACCAGCACCAUCUGCUCUCAAAACCCUAGUUCAUCUCUUGUAUCCAAUCUUGUAUCCAAACCACAAAUUGGUACCUGUGGGUUGCUAGUAGUGUUGAUUACUCCUUGUAGUUGAUGCUAAUUGGUUUACUUGGUGGAAGAUCAUAUGUUCAGAUCCUUAAUGCAUAUUAUUACCCCUCUGAUUAUGAACAUCAAUAUGCUUUGUGAGUAGUUACAUUUGUUCCUGAGGACAUGGGCGAAGUCUUGCUAUUAGUAGUCAUGUGAAGUUGGUAUUCGUUCGAUUUUUGAUGAGAUGUAUGUUGUCUUUCCUCUAGUGGUGUUAUGUGAACGUCGACUACAUGACACUUCACCUUUAUUUGGGCCUAGAGGAAGGCAUUGGAAAGUAAUAAGUAGAUGAUGGGUUGCUAGAGUGACAAAAGCUUAAACCCUAGUUUAUGCGUUGCUUCGUUUGGGGCUGAUUUGGAUCCAUAUGUUUAGUGUUGUGGUUAGGGUUACCUUAAUACUUCUUUUGUAGUUGCGGACCCUUGCAAGAGGGGUUAAUCAUAAGUGGGAAGCUUGUCCAAGUAAGGGCAGUACCCAAGCACCGGUCCACCCACAUAUCAAAUUAUCAAAGUACAAACGAGAAACAUAUGAACGUGAUAAAAACUAGCUUGACGAUAAUUCCCAUGUGUCCUCGGGAGCUCUUUUCUCAUUAUAAGAAAUUGUCCAGGCUUAUACUUUGCUACAAAAGGAUUGGGCCACCUUACUGCACUUUAUUUACUUUCAUUGCUUGUUAAUCGUUACAAUUUAUCUUAUCACAAAACUAUCUAUUACCUACAAUUUCAGUGCUUGCAAAGAAAACCUUACUGAAAACCGCUUAUCAUUUCCUUCUGCUCCUCAUUGGGUUCGACACUUUUACUUAUCGAAAGGACUACGAUAGAUCCCCUACACUUGUGGGUCAUCAACUAUCUACUCUGUUGAGGUGUAAAGUUGGGAAUUGGCCACACACUUACCUGGGACUUCCAUUGGGCUCUGCCAAACCAAGAGUGGAAGACUACAUGCCAAUGUUGAAGAGAAUUGAAAACAUAUUGCUUAGCUGCUCCACAAUGCUAUCCACUGAAGACAAGCUUACUCUACUCAAAUCAGUCUUUACAAGUAUGACAAUAUUUUUCAUGUGUAGUCUCAUGAUCCCCAAGACUGUGAUUAAACAAAUAAACUCUUAUCUGAUGAACUGUUUUUGGAGGAAAUUUGGAACUCAGGAUAGAGGUGUUGUUCUGAUCUCAGGACAGAGGGGUUUUGGACCUUCAUAUUCAUAACCAAGCACUUCUCAUGAAAUUCCUUCACAAAUUCCCCAAUAAAGAAGACAUACCAUGGGUUAAUAUAAUAUGGGAGACAUAUUACGAGGAUAGUGUUCCAGUAGAUAGGAUGAUUGGAUCUUUCUGGUGGAAAGUUGUCCUGAAACUGCUGCCCACAUUCAAGGAGCACACAAGGUGCAAAGCUGGAAGGGGAGAUACAGUUAUGUUCUGGACAGAUAAAUGGAUGAACACCCCUAUGAACACUCUCUUCCCUGAACUACAUUCUUUUGCUAUCAAUAAAGCCAUCACUCUGCAAAAGGCCCAGCAGCAUGAGGACUUCAGCCACAACUUUCAUGGACCUCUGUCACUCCAGGCAUACAAUCAGUCCAAUGAACUUCAAGAUACCCUCAGUAACAGAGAAACUUCUACAGACAGAGAUUCUUGGAUCAUGGAUGGCGCCACACAAAAAUUCUCCUCCAUGAACAUAUAUAAAGCAAUUUGUGGACCCAGCCAAGCACACAAGAUCUUUCAGAUGGUCUGGAAAACAGCAUGCAGACUAAGGCACAAAAUCUUCUUUUGGUUGCUGCUCCAUGACAAAUUAAGCACUAGAAAUAUGCUCAAGCACAGAAACAUGUUCUUAGAAGACUACAACUGUGCCCUUUGCUCAGAGGCUACAGAAGAAACCAAAACUCAUCUUUUCUGGGACCGCCAGUUUGCAUGGACUUGCUGGAAUCUGGUAGUUCCUAAUAAACAUAGAGGUACUUCGGUCUAUGAUGAAGUCCUAUUCACGCUAAGCAAAAUUCCAAAGGAUAUUGCUAUGGAAGUGGUGAUCAUGGGAUGGUGGAGCAUCUGGAUGACCAGAAAUUACAAAAUUUUCAGAAAAGCCCCUUCGCACUUUGGAACAUGGAAGUUUUAUCUCAAAGAAGGUGUUGAAGUUACUAGACUAAGAGCUAAACAGAGGAAAGCUGAUUUGAUUAGCACUUGGAUUGUACAGAAUCUUUAAUUUUCCUAUGUUUCACAAAACAGGUAUUGGUUGAUCUUCUAUAGACUUGCUACUUCUAGCCUUUGUAUUUUGUUUAUUUAUUUAAUACAGAAAAUACCGUAGAAAGAUUGUUCUGCGGUUUCGGCUAAAAAAAGUAUUAUUUUUAAAAUGAGUGAAAUUAGCUCCUUAAAAUUUUAAGCAUGUCUUCCAAAUGAAGGGAGUGAAUUUAGUAACACCUGAUGGCAGAAAAGAAACAUCUUUUUCGCUUCGAGUCUUUCGUGAUAAAGGACGGCUCAGAGAUACGUUUCUGGGAGGAUAAGUGGUUGGAACCACACUCUUCGGGAAUAGUAUCGAGCCUUGUACCGCAUUGUCUGCGAUAAGAAUGAUACUCUUGCGCAGGUACUCAUCUCCUCUUCCCCGGAUGUUUCAUUCCGACGGGAUCUAGUUGGCCCCAUCUUACUUCAUGGCAACAUCUGUUAUCUGCUUUGGAUUUAGUUAACCUGGCACAUGGACGGGAUGUAUUUUGUUGGAAUCUCAUGACAUCCGUGUCAUUCGCAGUUGACUUUAUGUAUCGUGCCCUCAUGCACUUAGAGAUUCCAGUGGGUAAUAACAAUAAAAUAUGAAGGUCGAAGAUACCUCUAAAAAUCAGAUUGUCAUGUGUUAUCUUCGUAGAAAAGUUGUACUAACUAAAGACAAUCUCACCCGUCGCAACUGGCAUGGAAUUAGAAGUGUACUUUUUGUAUUCAUGAUGAGACAAUUAAACACCUCUUCUUUCAAUGUCAGUCAUCCAUAUAGCGUCCAAUAUGUAACCUCCAACAAGUGUUGCCAAUAUAUAUGGUCACUGGCUUGACGAUAUACCAAAUAGGUUUUGCACGCUAAUAAGGGUGGGAGCAUCUGCCUUAUUAUGGUCACUUUGACUAUGUAGAAAUACAUUGUUUUCAAUCGUGAAACUCAUUCUCCUUUGCGGGUUAUUUUCCAUUGUACGCACUGGCUUUGCAUGUCGUCUAUGUUGCACGGAACGGAGUAUCGACCGUUGUUUGAGGUGGUGUGUAUGCGGAUGAAGUGAGUGGCUAGAGAGUUUUUUUUACCAAAUAUGGGGCAAUAUAAUCUCCGGCUCGGUCCAACUUGUCCUUCGACAUAGGCAUAGUUUUGGUCUUGUAGGACUUUACUGUUGCCAAUAUGUCGUUUCAUUUAUUUAUUUAUUUUUGUCAAACUUGUUUCUGUCGAAUGUGUGCAUCCUAGAUAUGCACAGGCCGGGUCUUGCUCAAUAUGAUUGCUUCCAUUUGAUGCUAUAUUUAAGGUAAUAAAAGCGGCCUUUAUCAAAAAAACAUGCUGGCAAGUGUUGAAAAAGUCAUUUCGUUGCACUUGCGGAUUCAUGGUUCAUGCCAAAGCCUACCGGUUUGUGGAGCAUAUUUAGCACCAAGCUGCCCAAGCAGCUGUGGCCAUGUUCACUGUUGUGCCCCAGUUUCCGUUCUUGAUUUUGAAAACACCUAAACAUCUAUUACCUUGUUUCCUAUUUCAAAGUGUGCAAUGCAGCUGCUUAUUACAGAAGAAAUUCAGUCACAUACAUCAACUUCAAAAUCUCAGAGUCUGAUACAUGGCCUUGCUAUUAUCAUACGUCACUCUUCAUGAGGUUCAACAUGAACUCAUUGUAUUAACUUCUCGCUAGCUUUGCGCCUGAUGUAGUCCCUACACUAGCAUCGAAUUAAGGCUGGCAAAACCCUUGUAAUAAGAUUACCGAUAAAAUGAAAGGGGAGAGCAGCCCAGCUCAGGGUGCUACUAUGCUCCUCCUCCUGUGGGGCUGCCGCAUCCUCCUUGCCUUCCCCAUUAGCCGUGGGGCAUGUGAACGGCAACUCAAGCAGGUUCGUGAAAUGUGUGAAACCCUGUCCUUCAUUUGUCUGGCUCUUCUUUCCGCACAGGAAGCUGCCGUCAAGGGGGUGCAAAAUCUGAAAGCUCUCGGGGCAAAAUGCACACGCGGUCUUCAAGUGACUUUUGCGGGACGACUUCUCUGUGGAUGGAGAACAAAAGAAAGACAAAACACAAGUUAGGACCAGUGGUCACCGAAUCUGAAGGGAAACCAUAUGCAAGUGUACCAAAAAAUGUCAUGCAUAGGAUGGAUGCUUUCUCAUGGCGGUUCAGGUGUGGUGGUCGCCGCUUACCGAUGAUGGCGCAUGUUUCAACGGCCGGCGCGCCGGAGAGGUGGUGGCUGUAGCGCAGCUCGGCGAAGAAGGUCUUGUCCGCCUCGUUGGCCUGGUUGCGCCUCCGUUUGCUGCUGGCGAUUUUCUUCCUGCGAGCCACGAAGCCGACGUGGACCCAGAUGUGGCUUUGGAAGCCCACGUACGCGGCCAUGAGAGGCUUGACGAGGACGAACUCUGAGCCCGGGUUGCUGGCGUUGUAGUGGCGGAGGGCGUGGUGGACAUGGCAGGUGAUGGAGGCGUCGCGCUCCCUGCAUGUCGAUCCAGACAUCACAAUUAGCAUGCAAUAGGUUAGUGGACUCGAAAAAGACGAUACAUAGAUGAGCUAAGCGAACAAGGAGAACGUACUCUUCGGUGCGCAGGCGGCAGGGAGUCGCCGUCGUCCCGUGGUGCGGCAGCGAUUGGCUGCCGCAGCCGCACACGGAGCGUUCCUGGAGAGUUUGGUCCUCGCGGUGCAGGUCCUGCACGAAAACCGGCGGCGCGCCGUCCUUCUUCGGCGUCAUCAUCCGCACCAUCGACAACAGUGCAGACCCCAUUGGUGAUGAUCCAAAGAAAAGAUCGAGAGCGUACAAUCUCUAGGUAGCUCCUGCCUCUCUGUAACGCUAUCGAUCGUCUACGCUAGUCCUUGUCCUUGAUUGUGUACCGUGGGUAGCUGCAUAUAUAGAUGGAAGCAGGGCGGACGUAGCACUCAACAGCCGAGCCUCGGUCGGACUCGGAACUGAAAAUGAAACCAAGCCCGACUCGGUCGAUCCACCGGCCGACCGCAACUCUGAAGCCGGUGGGUCCUCAACCCGCUCCAACCCGGACCGCCGCCGCGUGCGCGCGUCUAUAUAUACACAUAACACACACACGCCUCGACGCCAUUCAUCACAUCAACAAACACUUGCGCCCGACCGAGGCUAAGCAGAAGCAAAAGUCAGAUCUCUCCCACGCAAAAGUCAGAUCUCUCAUGGGGGGCAACGACGGCGGCAAGGACGCCGCCACGGAGGCGGCGGCCGCCGGCGACGCGGCGACCAAGCAGGAGGCCCCGGCGAAUCGAGGGAAGACGCCGCAGCAGGUGAACCAGGAGCUGAGGGAGUCCCUGUCGAAGCAGGACAGCUUCCGCAAACUGGCGGAGCGCUACGGCGGCGUGGACGACCUCCUCGACCUGUGCGUCGGCGACGGCGACGACAACUGCUUCGACGACUGGUGCUGCGUCGUCAACCCCGAUGGCUCCUACUACUACAUGGACCGCCACUACGCUCCUGCACCCGAUUACUUGCUCUCCUAUGAUGAUGAUGGUCGGCUUGUUCUCCUCAAACAAGAAAAGCCCACCUGAUGUAUCAUGCAUGUACCUCGUGCCUAGUCUGGUUUGCUUGUGUGUUUCUUUCUUUGUUAUUUUGGAUCUCUCAGUGAUACAAUUAAUAUUUGCUUGACCAUCGAAAUCUGACCCCCUGUUCACUGGAAUUUAGUUUGCUUUGGUCUCAUCCUCCUCGACCCUGGCCUUUUCCAGCUCUACUGUCAUGAAAUAAAUGGUAUUAUAUUUAUUCGAUGAUUUUGCAAAAGAAAAGAACAUGCAAAUCAUGAAUAAAUGAGAAAUUUUGCGAAUAAAUGUACUAGCAAAGUAGCAUGCGAAUCAUAUAGUAUACUCCAGCGCAUGCAAAUCAUGAAAUAAAUGUACCACCCUG